rnacentral:misc_RNA from 1 species
AGAGGAAGUAAAAGUCGUAACAAGGUCUCCGUAGGUGAACCUGCGGAGGGAUCAUUACAGAGUUCGUGCCCUCCUGGGUAGAUCUCCCACCCUGUGUUGUCAGUACCAUGUUGCUUUGGCGGGACGCGAGGCACGCCUCCCACCGGCUCCGGCUGGUGUGCGCCCGCCAGAGGACCCCAAACCCUGAAUAUGUAGUGUCGUCUGAGUACCAUACAAUCGUUAAAACUUUCAACAACGGAUCUCUUGGUUCUGGCAUCGAUGAAGAACGCAGCGAAAUGCGAUAAGUAAUGUGAAUUGCAGAAUUCAGUGAAUCAUCGAAUCUUUGAACGCACAUUGCGCCCCUUGGUAUUCCGGGGGGCAUGCCUGUUCGAGCGUCAUGACAACCCUCAAGCCUGGCUUGGUGUUGGGCCUCGCCGUUCACCCGGCGGGCCCUAAAACGAGUGGCGGUGCCGUCGCGGCCCUGAGCGUAGUACACAUCCUCGCUAUAGGGACCCGGUGGUCGCUGGCCAGCAACCCCCAACUUCUAAGUUUGACCUCGGAUCAGGUAGGGAUACCCGCUGAACUUAAGCAUAUCA